rnacentral:rRNA from 1 species
GCACAAGCGGUGGAGCAUGUGGUUUAAUUCGAUGCAACGCGCAGAACCUUACCUGGCCUUGACAUGUCCGGAAUCCUGCAGAGAUGCGGGAGUGCCUUCGGGAAUCGGAACACGGGUGCUGCAUGGCUGUCGUUAGCUCGUGUCGUGAGAUGUUGGGUUAAGUCCCGCAACGAGCGCAACCCUUGUCCCUAGUUGCCAGCACGUAAAGGUGGGAACUCUAGGGAGACUGCCGGUGAUAAACCGGAGGAAGGUGGGGAUGACGCCAAGUCCUCAUGGCCUUUAUGUCCAGGGCUACACACGUGCUACAAUGGCGCGUACAGAGGGAAGCCAAGCCGCGAGGUGGAGCAGACCCCAGAAAGCGCGUCGUAGUUCGGAUUGCAGUCUGCAACUCGACUGCAUGAAGUCGGAAUCGCUAGUAAUCGCGGAUCAGAAUGUCGCGGUGAAUACGUUCCCGGGC